UGGGAUGUGUAAGUGGAAACAUGAGAGACCGCUUUAUUUGGCAGUGCUUUGGAAAAAAAAAAAAAGCAGGACAAAUGGCAAGGCAGUGUUUGGACCGCAGGAUGAACAAUCAAUAGGCAGAAAGCAAGAUAGAGGCUUCCUCAGCUUCUGGAUCGACAAUCGACAGCUGAGAGACUAUUUUUUGCUAUGGUUGACUAAAUAUGGUCAGGGAAGAGAGAGGCACAAGAGAGCCUGUUUGCCUGGGAGUGCAUGUUUCAAAUGCUUAGCUGCCUAUAAAGCUGUAACAGUUCAGCCUGUGGCCACUGAGGGAAGAAUAUAAGUUAACCUUUGUAGUGACCAUGUGGAAGUCCUGACCUUGCUUGCAGACUUGACCUCUGGAUAUGACAAGGUAGCUUCAAUACAGAUCUACCAUUUAAUCCUGGAAACUAAAACAAACAAAAAAAAUCUCACAGCAAGAAAGAUGCAGAAUAUUUCCUGAGAAGUCAGAAGACCCCAAUGUAUUCUGGUGCGCAAAGAAAACAGGGUGAAUGUCUACAGUUACUUGGGGGGAGCAAGAACCAAACCAGGACAAAGUUCAACAGAUAACUGGUCAAAGUUUAAAAGUGUAUGUCCACCAAGAACAAGGAACCAUGAAUGGCACUAAUGCCAUGCCUCAGAUACUAAAAGUAAAACCGCUCAAGUAGAAGUCCGUGACGACUUGACAACCAUUCUUGAAAAGCACUUUGAAGGUAUCAGCCCACUAUCUUCUGGCCUCCAAAGUUUUUGAUGAGAAAUCUGUUGAAAAUCUUAAAAGGAUCGAAGUGAAGAGUCGUUUCUCUCUUGCUGCUUUCAAGAUUCUCUCUUUGUCUUUUGAAAGUUUGAUUAUAAUGUAUCUCAAUGUGGGGCUGAGUUCAUCCUAUUUGGAAUUCAUUCUGCUUUUUGGAUGUUUAUAGCUUUCAUCAAAUCUGGGGAGUUUCUAGCCAUUGUUUCUUCAAAUAACCUCUCUGCCCCUUUCUCUCUUCCUGCCUUCUCUUUCUAGGAUUCUCACAAUGCGUAUGGUGGUCCACUUGAUGAUGCCCCACAGGUCCCUUAGCCUCUCUUCAUUUUUCUUCAGUCUUUUUUCUUUCUGUGUCUCAGACUCGAUCAUUUCCAUUGUCCUAUCUUCCAGUUCACUGGUUCUUUCUUCUGCCUGGUUAAAUCUCUCUUUGAAUUCCCCUAUGAAUUUUUCAUUUAAGUUCUUGUACUUUUCAGCUUUGGAAUUUGUUUUUAGUUUCUUUUUAGGUGAUCUAUGUCUUCAUUGAUAUUUCCAUUUUGUUCAUACAUAAUUUUCUUGACUUUCUACACAUCUUCAUUUAGUUCUUUGAGAAUCUUUAAGACAACUGUUUUAGAGUCAUUGUCUAGUAGAUUGCCAUCUGGUUUUUCUCAGGUACAUUUACUUGUUGGUUUAUUUUUUUUCCUUUGAAUGGGCCAUACUUUCCUAUUUUGCUGUUUACCUUGUGAUUUUUCUGUUGAAAAGUGGACAUUUGAAUCUAAUAAAGCCAUAAGUCUGGAAAUCAGAGUCUUCUCCUUCUGCAGGGUUUGUUUUUGGUUUUGGUUUGGUUUUGACUGUUUUAGACUGUCUUCAUGCUUACAGCCUGAGGUGUAAACUUAAGGUCUCCUUGGGUCUUUUCUGAGCCUGCACCUUUCCUCAGGUAUGUGCAAUGCCUUUCUUAUUUCCCUCAUAUAUGCAGUUGCUUUUGAAUGUCAUAGUCUUUAAUGCCAGGCUCCCAAAAUGAGAAAAAGAGAAAAAUGGGAGGGGAAGCGGAAAAGAGCGCAGACCUUUAAAUCCUCUGGAAGUAACUUCAGCCAAUGAGGAAGGGCUUGCAACAAUGGGAGGGUGUAACAAUGGCUACCCACCUCUGUGCCUGCACCUCCAUAAUCAGAAGCAGCAAUCAAGGAUUAGAAUACCCUGCAAGCUGAUCUAAGAACACAUACCUGGCUGCCUGUCACUGGGCUGGAGGGUGGGGUAUGUAGCUCCUGCUGAGCUAAGAGCUGAAAUUGACCAAAAUUAACCACAAUUAACCCCUAAGCCUUCCCUUGGAAGUAGCAAGCCUUCAACAGAAGCCAGAGUUCUAAAAUAGUUACAUCAGAAAGAUUCUGCCAGUGCAGUUGUCUAGAUGGGGAGAUGGAUUCCUAGUACUUCCUACUCCACCAGAAUCCUCUUGGUAACCAUCAUGAUUUUUUGUUUUUUGUGUUUUUUUGGCUGCGUUGUGUCUUUGUUGCUGCGCGAGGGCUUUAUCUAGUUGCAGCGAGCGGGGGUUACUCUUCAUUGCAGCGCGUGGGCUUCCCAUUGCUGUGGCUUCUCUUGUUGCGGAGCAUAGGCUCUAGGCACAUAGGCUUCAGUAGCUGUGGCACACAGGCUCAGGAGUUGUGGCUCGCAGGCUGAGUAGUUGUGGCACACGAGCUUAGUUGCUCCGUGGCACAUAGGAUCUUCCUGGACAAGGGCUUGAACCCAUGUCCCCUGCACUGGCAGGCAGAUUCUUAACCAUUGCACCACCAGGGAAGUCCCCAUGAUUUUUGCCAUCAAUGAAAUUAAAUAUUUCCUGAACUCACUGAUAUUUUCAGUAAAUUAGGUCAACUAUUAUAUUAUUAGGUCAAUAUUUUAUUAUUCUCAAAUAUAAUAUUGUACUUCAUCUUAUUUUCCUUAAAACUUGUUCAGUUAAUCAAGAUGCUGGUAUUGUGAUCAUAUUAAAACCUUUAGAUUGUCUGGAAAUGGUAUAUUCUGGAUUGUUCGUUCAUUCAUUUACUCAUUCCUUCAAUGAGUAUUUACUAGGUGCCUACUAUGAGCUCAGUACCGUUCUGGACACUGGAGAACAACAAUGGGCAAGAUAAAGUUCACCCUCAUGGAGUUUACAUUCUAGUGGGGGAGACAGAAUAUUAUAAAUGAAAUAAAUAAAUAAAAUGUAAAUGUUAGGUAGUACAAAGUGCCAAGGGGAAAAAACAGCAGGGAAAAAAGAUUAGAUAAGACAGCCAAGGGAUGGCCCCUCCCAAGGAAGGUUUGAGUAAAUACCUGAAAGAAGUGAGAGAGAAGGCCAUGAAGAUAUUUGGGAGAAGAGAAGUGUGAGGAGACCAGCACAGUGGCGGCAGGAAAGAUGAAAACUGUUUAAAUUCUGGAUAUAUUUUAAAGAGCUAACAGGAUUUAGUGAUAGACCAAAUGAGGAACAUGGGGGGAAAAAAGAGGAAUCAACGAAUGAUGAUUCUUAAGACCCAACUUGCACAACUAAAUUUACUGAUAAGGGAGAACUAUAAAAUUAUGAUAUGUCCCCUUUUAAAACCUGACCUCUUUUAUUUGGGCAAUCUUAGAUUGCAGUCUGCCUUCCUCUAAAAGGCACCUUAACGACUGUUUUCUGGGUCUUAUAAAUCAAAUCUUUCUCUUGACAUCCCAUGUUUUUAAUAGUGCCAGUGUUUCAGGUGGGGGCAUGUAGGGAGGUGGGAAAGCCUCUAGUCACAACCUGAAUUAACAUGGAUCCCCAGGAACCACGUAUACCAAUUCCUAGAGCCAUUCUGGAUAUUAUUAUUCUGAGUUCUGCCUUGUUUUUAAGAAAAGAAUUUCCUUAAACUUACCAGUCUUAAAGUCUACUUGCCCAUUCCUUUUCAGAUUACAGUUAAAUAAAAUGUUUCUACAGUUUGGUUUUCAUUAACUAGAUAAGCAGAAUCAGACAGAAUUAGCACCUGGGGUUUUUUUUGAGAAACUGUGCUAACUCCCACUAGUUGGAAAGAAAUCUUUAAUAAGAACAGUCAGGUACUUCACUGGUGGCACAGUGGUUAAGAAUCCAUGUGCCAGUGCAGGGGACAUGGGUUCAAGCCCUGGUCCGGGAAGAUCCCACAUGCUGCGGAGCAACUAAGCCCAUGUGCCACAACUACUGAGCCUGCGCUCUAGAGCCCGCGAGCCAAAACUACUG